UGGUUCUGGCAUCGCUGAAGAACGCAGCGAAAUGCGAUAAGUAAUGCGAAUUGCAGAAUUCCGUGAGUCAUCGAAUCUUUGAACGCAUAUUGCGCCCCCUGGUAUUCCGGGGGGCAUGCCUGUCCGAGCGUCAUUUAUCCCAUCAAGCACGGCUCGAGGUUGGGUCUACCGCUCUGCGGUUCCCCUGAAAUGCAGUGGUGUUCUCCAGCAGGCUGAGAUGCAGCGAGCUUUCGGGCAUGCGUCUUGGGGUUGCGGGAGGUGCAGCUUAACCAUCUUUCUAGGUUGACCUCGGAUCAGACAGGAUUACCCGCUGA
rnacentral:misc_RNA from 1 species